CGCGAAGAACCUUACCAGGUCUUGACAUCCUUUGACCACUCUAGAGAUAGAGCUUCCCCUUCGGGGGCAAAGUGACAGGUGGUGCAUGGUUGUCGUCAGCUCGUGUCGUGAGAUGUUGGGUUAAGUCCCGCAACGAGCGCAACCCCUAUUAUUAGUUGCCAGCAUUCAGUUGGGCACUCUAAUGAGACUGCCGGUGACAAACCGGAGGAAGGUGGGGAUGACGUCAAAUCAGCAUGCCCCUUAUGACCUGGGCUACACACGUGCUACAAUGGAUGGUACAACGAGUCGCGAAGUCGCGAGGCUAAGCUAAUCUCUUAAAGCUUCUCUCAGUUCGGAUUGUAGGCUGCAACUCGCCUACAUGAAGCCGGAAUCGCUAGUAAUCGUGGAUCAGAAUGCCACGGUGAAUACGUUCCCGGGUCUUGUACACACC
rnacentral:rRNA from 1 species